rnacentral:rRNA from 1 species
GACGAACGCUGGCGGCGUGCUUAACACAUGCAAGUCGAACGGAAAGGCCCUGCUUUUGUGGGGUGCUCGAGUGGCGAACGGGUGAGUAACACGUGAGUAACCUGCCCUUGACUUUGGGAUAACUUCAGGAAACUGGGGCUAAUACUGGAUAGGAGCUCCUGCUGCAUGGUGGGGGUUGGAAAGUUUCGGCGGUUGGGGAUGGACUCGCGGCUUAUCAGCUUGUUGGUGGGGUAGUGGCUUACCAAGGCUUUGACGGGUAGCCGGCCUGAGAGGGUGACCGGCCACAUUGGGACUGAGAUACGGCCCAGACUCCUACGGGAGGCAGCAGUGGGGAAUAUUGCACAAUGGGCGGAAGCCUGAUGCAGCAACGCCGCGUGCGGGAUGACGGCCUUCGGGUUGUGAACCGCUUUCGCCUGUGACGAAGCGUGAGUGACGGUAAUGGGUAAAGAAGCACCGGCUAACUACGUG